GCUAGGUACGGGCCCGAGGCGGGGGAAAGACGAAGGGUGCAAGGGGUAAUCGGAAUUGCUGAGCGGAAGGCGUGCGCAGGCGGUGUUGGAAGACAGGGGUGAAAUCCCCGGGCUCAACCUGGGAACUGCCUUUGUGACUGCAAGGCUGGAGUGCGGCAGAGGGGGAUGGAAUUCCGCGUGUAGCAGUGAAAUGCGUAGAUAUGCGGAGGAACACCGAUGGCGAAGGCAAUCCCCUGGGCCUGCACUGACGCUCAUGCACGAAAGCGUGGGGAGCAAACAGGAUUAGAUACCCUUGUAGUC
rnacentral:rRNA from 1 species